rnacentral:rRNA from 1 species
CAUUAGUGAAAUUUGGGCGUCUCUUCCACAGAGAGCCCGUCUUCCACAUUUAACCCUGUGCACUUGGCGCUAGUCUCGUGCGCUUGUCAGUCGGGCUCAGUUUCCUUUGGAAGCCGGGCCGGCGAAAACCUUUUUUAACGCAAGUUGAUGAAUGUAACAUAAAAACUAAACCAAAUAAAACUUUUAACAACGGAUCUCUUGGCUCUCACAUCGAUGAAGAACGCAGCGAAAUGUGAUAAGUAAUGUGAAUUGCAGAAUUCAGUGAAUCAUCGAAUCUUUGAACGCACCUUGCGCUCCCUGGUAUUCCGGGGAGCAUGUCUGUUUGAGUGUUAUGAAAUCUUCAACCCACCUGUUUCUUGUCAACAGAGUGGUGCUUUGGAUCAUGGGCGUCUUUGCUGGCCCCCAAGCUGGGGUUGGCUCGCCUGGAAUGCAUGAGCAGCAUCGUACCUCGACAUCUGGCUUGACUUGGCGUGAUAGGUUAUUUCGCUGGGGACAACACUUCGGGUGUUGGCCGAGUCGUGGAAAGAGGGCUACCAAUGAAACGUACUCUAAAUAUUUGACCUCAAAUCAGAUAGGACUACCC